GAUGAACGCUGGCGGCGUGCCUAAUACAUGCAAGUCGAGCGAACGGACGAGAAGCUUGCUUCUCUGAUGUUAGCGGCGGACGGGUGAGUAACACGUGGAUAACCUACCUAUAAGACUGGGAUAACUUCGGGAAACCGGAGCUAAUACCGGAUAAUAUUUUGAACCGCAUGGUUCAAAAGUGAAAGACGGUCUUGCUGUCACUUAUAGAUGGAUCCGCGCUGCAUUAGCUAGUUGGUAAGGUAACGGCUUACCAAGGCAACGAUGCAUAGCCGACCUGAGAGGGUGAUCGGCCACACUGGAACUGAGACACGGUCCAGACUCCUACGGGAGGCAGCAGUAGGGAAUCUUCCGCAAUGGGCGAAAGCCUGACGGAGCAACGCCGCGUGAGUGAUGAAGGUCUUCGGAUCGUAAAACUCUGUUAUUAGGGAAGAACAUAUGUGUAAGUAACUGUGCACAUCUUGACGGUACCUAAUCAGAAAGCCACGGCUAACUACGUGCCAGCAGCCGCGGUAAUACGUAGAUGGCAAGUGUUAUCCGGAAUUAUUGGGCGUAAAGCGCGCGUAGGCGGUUUUUUAAGUCUGAUGUGAAAGCCCACGGCUCAACCGUGGAGGGUCAUUGGAAACUGGAAAACUUGAGUGCAGAAGAGGAAAGUGGAAUUCCAUGUGUAGCGGUGAAAUGCGCAGAGAUAUGGAGGAACACCAGUGGCGAAGGCGACUUUCUGGUCUGUAACUGACGCUGAUGUGCGAAAGCGUGGGGAUCAAACAGGAUUAGAUACCCUGGUAGUCCACGCCGUAAACGAUGAGUGCUAAGUGUUAGGGGGUUUCCGCCCCUUAGCGCUGCAGCUAACGCAUUAAGCACUCCGCCUGGGGAGUACGACCGCAAGGUUGAAACUCAAAGGAAUUGACGGGGACCCGCACAAGCGGUGGAGCAUGUGGUUUAAUUCGAAGCAACGCGAAGAACCUUACCAAAUCUUGACAUCCUCUGACCCCUCUAGAGAUAGAGUUUUCCCCUUCGGGGGACAGAGUAACAGGUGGUGCAUGGUUGUCGUCAGCUCGUGUCGUGAGAUGUUGGGUUAAGUCCCGCAACGAGCGCAACCCUUAAGCUUAGUUGCCAUCAUUAAGUUGGGCACUCUAAGUUGACUGCCGGUGACAAACCGGAGGAAGGUGGGGAUGACGUCAAAUCAUCAUGCCCCUUAUGAUUUGGGCUACACACGUGCUACAAUGGACAAUACAAAGGGCAGCGAAACCGCGAGGUCAAGCAAAUCCCAUAAAGUUGUUCUCAGUUCGGAUUGUAGUCUGCAACUCGACUAUAUGAAGCUGGAAUCGCUAGUAAUCGUAGAUCAGCAUGCUACGGUGAAUACGUUCCCGGGUCU
rnacentral:rRNA from 1 species